CUCCAUAUGCCCCAAGUGCAGCCCUAAAAAGCAAAAAGUAAAUAAAUAAAUUAAUUAAAAAUAUAAAGUUAAGGAUCUGAUGGGUGGGUCAGGGGGAACUCCAAUGCUAUAAAAGUCAGUUUGAAAUUCCUCAGCACAUAGCUUAUAAGAAAAAUCUGGGGAUUUGAUGAGAAUUUCUGUAGAGGAUGUAAUUAGAGGGUGUAAUCAGGGGAGAACCCCAGGAAACAGCAGCACCUGUGGGAUGUGGGGUGGCAGGUGGGGCAUAGUGGACCAGGAAAAAAGCUGGCAGGAAGUUCUGCCAUGGAGAAUGUCUCGGAGAAGGAAGUCAUCGCAGAGAGAGGCCUGAACACGUAUAUCAGGUUUAGCAAGAGAAAGGUCCUGGAGGACUUGAAGGAGAGCAGUUCUGGGGAAAGGUGAGCGCAGAAGCUGAUUGUAACGAGCUGAGCUGACUGUGUCAUUAAUCAGCAUGUGAUGUGCCUGGGGCAUAUCCUUCAGCCAUUAGGAAAAUAUUAUAGAAGGUUGAUUCUGUCUAAGAAUUAAAGGGAAAUCAUUCGGGAUGAGGCCUCCCAGGGCCUCUGACCUUGUGGGAAGAAAACCAGGAGGUGCUUAACCCAUUCGUGUUACAUAUUUGCUUGGCACCUGUGCAGAACAUUCGGAGAAGACCAGGCUUUGAGAAUCUAGCCGAAGGUGCAGAAAGACAUCUCCUGGUAAUGGAGGUGAGCAGGUGGUCAGCUCUGGAUGCAGGGUCUGUUGGAUGUUAUUAAAGAGGAAAAAAGAGAUGGCUUAGAAUUCUCCAGUCGUGUCAGACAAUGGCACACUUUAUGUCAAUACUGAUGAGCUGGGAUAAGGAACACCUCCACCAAACUCACAGUGUCGGUUUUAAGUGUAAGCCCCAGAAACAGUUUUCAUGAAAGUGUGUCUGGAGGAAAAUAGGAAAUGUCACUGCUGCUGAGAUCCAUUUGAAAUGAGCAGGAGAAAAAUACAGACUCGGGUAAUUAGAUUUUUAGAUCCAGCUCAGACUGUAACAUCUGUUACCCCGCUAUGUUCUGGGUCUGGGGGGGGGGGGGUAGAUCAGGUGUGCUGUGGCGGGAAACAGAGGGUUUGGAGCUUUCCUUCACGAAGCAGCCAAGUGCACAGUGGGAACAGCAUGGGCUUUGAACGGAGCCCCAAAUGCAUUUGUUCCAAACCAUUUGCAAGUGAGGCAGCGUAGUCUCUCUGACCUUCAUGGCUUUGGUUUGUUUUUGUUUGUUAAAAGAAGUUAACAGUACUUUGUCCAAAGAUUAUUGAAAGGGUUAAAAUACCCUGUAAAUAUUCAAACAUAUCUAUGAAAUGCUUAAAAUAUUAGACAACAAGCGACUUCUCAAUACCCUCUUCCAUUUCUUUCUGUCUCUCUCUCCCUCCCUUUUUUCCUCCCUCCCUUCCUCCCUCCCUCCCUCCCUCUUUUUUCCCCCAGUGAAUAUCUGUUUCUUCAGGUCAAGAGUCUGACUUUUAGGAAUCUAAGUGUGGACCCCUAGAAAAUUAUAUUAUUUGCAUCAAAGUCAGAUCCUCCAGGUAAUGGGGCUAAUUUGAAAGUGUCUCUAGAGACAAGAAGGCCCUCAAAGGCCUCAAAGUUCCCCUAAAUGGAUUAACUCUUCCCAGUGAUUUGAUCAGGAAAAAAAAAAUCUUCCAAGCUAUCAAAUGACUCAGCUUCUCUCAGGGCCAUAUGCGCAGUUUCCAUCUCAUUAACAAAAAGCUGAUUCCUCAUAAACCUUUGAAGAAAGAGUAGUUCUUUCCCAAGAAAACAUUCCAGUCUCUGAAACUGGAUGGAACCUCACCACGCAAACUGUAAACUUCAUUUUCCAGAGCAAAUGACCCUCAUCUCCAACCUGGCAGGAUAGGAAGUGACUCCUUUCACUCUUCCAGUGAUCUGGUAUCUUCUUGGAUCGAGGCAUAAACUGUAAACUUGCAGAGUCACGGCUCUUCAAUUGUCAGAGGAGUAUUAUCCACAAUUUCAGAGAAGGGAAGCUAAACUAAUCUCUGGCACGUAAAAACAUGUGUCAAAGUCUCUUCCUUACAGUCUGAAGGACCAUUCAAUGCCUUGCUGAGGGGUCUGUUGCCUGAGUCUAUGCUCAGGUCUAAAAUAGUGUUUAUUGAUAUGCAAAUUCAUAACAGAUUAGAGGUAGAAAAAAUUACAGUCAAUAGAGAAAUCACAGGCAGAUGGGUGUAUCAAAAGGGACUGUCAGUGAAAGGAAAGUGAAUGCUAACCAUGACCUGUGUAGGAAAUCAAAAGUCACAACCAUCAUUGAGCAUUUUGUGCUGAGCGAUAAGCCAUGUGUAUGUCAAUGCCCCCAAGGCCACCACCCAGAUCCCGCUCAGCAGAGUGAGGGUUACUCAGUGCAAACCUUGAGAAAAAGCUGGUGUACAAAUGAUGCAGCCACCGCCUUAUCAAGAUACAGGACAUUUUCAUCCCCCUGGAGGGGGUUUCAAAUCCUGACUGAUCUGAUGUCCCUCUCUGUAGGUUGUGUUUCCUGCUUCCAGGGUUUCAAGUAAAUGGAAUUACACAACAUUAUAUUCCUCUGUAUCUGUCUUCUCUCAUGAACCAUCAUGUUCUUGAGAUUCAUUCUUGUUGUAGGCAACAUACAUCCACUUUUUCUAUUACUGAAUAAGUAGUGAGCUGUAUAAAUAUACCAUAGUUGGUUUACCCAUUUACCUAUUGGUGACUAUUUCUAUACAAAUAAUUUCAUGGGCUUAUGUUUUUAUUUCUCUUAGUAAAUAUCUAGGAGUGAGCCUAGUGGGUUAUAUGGUUAGUGUCUAUUUAACUUUUAAGAAACAACCAAAUAGUUUCCAAAGUGAUUAUACCAUUUUACAUUCCCACCAGCAAUUUGCAAAAGUUCUAAUUUCUUUACAUUUUGUCUUUACAACACUUAAUAUUGUCAGCAUUUUUUUUAGCCAUUCUAGUGUGUGGGAAGUGAUUUCCCAUUGUGAUUUUAAUUUGCAUUUGCUUUUUAACUCAUGAAUGACUUACAGAGUUUGGGUCUACAAACUGUGUCCACAGGCAGGAUCAGCUCCAUAAUUUGGAAAUCUUCACAUAAAGUAAAAAUGUCAUGUUACUUGUUCAACACUUAUUAAGAAGUCCCAGGUGACAACAGCAAAACAGUGCAACAAAGCAAGAGGUCCUGCUGGGGAGUUCCCAACAUGGCUCAGCAGAAACAAAGCUGUCUAGCAUCCGUGAGGAUGGACGUUCAAUCCUUGGCCUUGCCCAGUGGGUUAAGGAUCUGGUGUUGCUGUGAGCUGCAAUGUGGAUUGCAGACGUAGCUCGGAUCCCACAUUGCUGUGACUAUGGUAUAGGCCGGUGGCUACAGGUCUGAUUCAACCCCUAACCUGGGAACAUCCACAUACUGCAGAUGCAGCCCUAAAAAG
rnacentral:lncRNA from 1 species